rnacentral:rRNA from 1 species
UACGGGGGGAGCAAGCGUUGUUCGGAUUUACUGGGCGUAAAGGGCGCGUAGGCGGCCACCGCAAGUCGACUGUGAAAUCUCCGGGCUUAACUCGGAACUGUCAGCUGAUACUGUUUUGCUAGAGUGCGGAAGGGGCAAUCGGAAUUCUUGGUGUAGCGGUGAAAUGCGUAGAUAUCAAGAGGAACACCUGAGGUGAAGACGGGUUGCUGGGCCGACACUGACGCUGAGUGCGCGAAAGCCAGGGGAGCAAACGGG